GAAAUGCGAUAACUAGUGUGAAUUGCAGAAUUCCGUGAAUCAUCGAGUCUUUGAACGCACAUUGCGCCCCCUGGUAUUCCGGGGGGCAUGCCUGUCCGAGCGUCAUUGCUGCCCAUCAAGCACGUCUUGUGUGUUGGGUCGUCGUCCCCUCUCCGGGGGGGACGGGCCCCAAAGGCAGCGGCGGCACCGCGUCCGAUCCUCGAGCGUAUGGGGCUUUGUCACCCGCUCUGUAGGCCCGGCCGGCGCUUGCCGAACGCAAAUCAAUCUUUUUCCAGGUUGACCUCGGAUCAGGUAGGGAUACCCGCUGAACUUAAGC
rnacentral:misc_RNA from 1 species